CACACAAAACGUUCAUCAAGUGCUUACAACCCAAUAAUACAAACAAUAUAAAGACUCGAAUUACGCACAAACGCCUACAAACGGAGAUAUAGAUCGAACAGAACCAUAAUUGUUCAAACCGGGAAAACACAAGGUACACAUAAACAUAUAGGUCGAACAUUCGUGCCAUACGUUCACCAUUCUUGCACAAAUGACUAUGGAAUGUCAAACUUCAAUUGGCUUAUGGGUGUCCAGAUUUAUGCAAUUUUACAAUACAUAGAUGAAGCCGCACAUUGACGCAUGGGGCGUCCAUCUUACGGCAUAGGUGGAGGAGCUGAUCCAUUAUUGACGCAGUUGUUGGAGCACUCGUUAGUGCUGGAUGGCAUGCAGUACUGCAUCACCCUUCCCGCGGCCGCAUUGCAAUUGUAGACUACUUCUCCAGCAGCCUUAGUGCAGGUUUCGCAGCAACCACGGUCACAGGGGCAGCCGCAGCUACUAGCGGAACAGGAACCCAGGCUGCAGGAGCCACGGGCGGCGUAGGAGCUACUGUUGCAGGGAGUCGUGCAGCUCUUGAAACAGCCGGCGUAGAACGAGAGAGAGAGAUAUUGCACUUGCUGUAAUCAGAGACAGCUAUGGCUUGGCAUCUCUGGGAAGUGGUAACAACUCGACGCGCACAGCUGAGAGCAAUCGAGCGCCGGCGCCGGGGCUAUGGCUGGCGAUGGCGCUGGCUGCUGCACCGUCGAGGAAUGCAUCAGCAUCACAGACACGGCAACCGCCAAGGCCCUCCUUAAGAGCGGCAAUAGUGGAAGCCAUGGUUACAGUGAGCUUGCAACCUUGUGACGAUUACAAGAUAGUAAGAAAGAAAAUAACCAAAGACAAGGUGCUUCAGUAAUGGAGAGAGAUGGGGAGGCAGCUCAAUUCGUGGCUGU
rnacentral:lncRNA from 1 species